rnacentral:rRNA from 1 species
GACGAACGCUGGCGGCGUGCUUAACACAUGCAAGUCGAACGGAAAGGCCUGCUUUCCCUUGUGGAUUGCGGGUACUCGAGUGGCGAACGGGUGAGUAACACGUGAGUGAUCUGCCCCCAACUUGGGUAUAAGCCUGGGAAACUGGGUCUAAUUCCCGAUAGGACUGCAGGGUGGUGCCUGUGGUGGAAAACGAUUUUCUAGUGGUUGGGGAUGAGCUCGCGGCCUAUCAGCUUGUUGGUGGGGUAAUGGCCUACCAAGGCGGCGACGGGUAGCCGGCCUGAGAGGGUGGACGGCCACAUUGGGACUGAGAUACGGCCCGGACUCCUACGGGAGGCAGCAGUGGGGAAUAUUGCACAAUGGGCGGAAGCCUGACGCAGCGACGCCGCGUGGGGGAUGACGGCCUUCGGGUUGUAAACUCCUUUCGACCGCGAGGAAGCCACCUGGUUGGAAGGGUGGUGACGGUAGUGGUAGAAGAAGCACCGGCUAACUACGUG